rnacentral:rRNA from 1 species
UACUAGAGUAGCACUCGCAUAUCAAUAAGCGGAGGAAAAGAAACUAACAAGGAUUCCCCUAGUAACGGCGGGUGAAGCGGGAAGAGCUCAAAUUUGAAAUCUUAAAGGGUUUCCCUUUACGAAUUGUAGUUUCAAGAAGUGUUUUCUGUUGAGGUUUUGGUAAAAGUUCUUUGGAAUAGGACAUCAUAGAGGGUGAGAAUCCCGUAUUUGACCUUUACUUUCAACUUUGUGAUACACUUUCAAAGAGUCGGAUUGUUUGGGAAUGCAGUCCAAAAUGGGUGGUAAAUUUCAUCUAAAGCUAAAUAUUGGCGAGAGACCGAUAGCGAACAAGUACCGUGAGGGAAAGAUGAAAAGAACUUUGAAAAGAGAGUUAAACAGUACGUGAAAUUGUCAAAAGGGAAGCGUUUGACACCAGUGUCGUUUUUCUGAAAAUCAAUUAAAGAACUGUUUAUGCUAAGUUGUUUAGACUUUAUCAGCUAACUGUUUAGUUUUGAGCUUUUCUUUAAUGCACUUUUCAGUUAACAAGUCAACAUCAAUUUCUUUUGCUGUAAAAAAGCUUGAGGAAGGUGGCUUGAGAUUCGUCUUAAGUGUUUAUAGCCUCUUGCCUAUGCAGUCGGAGAGAUUGAGGUCUGCAGCGUAGAUCCUUCGGGGCUAAAUGCAUUUGUGCUAAGUUAUAGCAUUUUAUAGACAACUUGUUGACUAUGAUUUGUCUUGUAGCUUACUCGCUUAUGUUAUUUUACCUACGCUUAGGAUGUUGAUCUCUCACAGUCGAGC